rnacentral:rRNA from 1 species
UACGAAGGGGGCUAGCGUUGCUCGGAAUCACUGGGCGUAAAGGGUGCGUAGGCGGGUCUUUAAGUCAGAGGUGAAAUCCUGGAGCUCAACUCCAGAACUGCCUUUGAUACUGAGGAUCUUGAGUUCGGGAGAGGUGAGUGGAACUGCGAGUGUAGAGGUGAAAAUUCGUAGAUAUUCGCAAGAACACCAGUGGCGAAGGCGGCUCACUGGCCCGAUACUGACGCUGAGGCACGAAAGCGUGGGGAGCAAACAGG